GCACUAUGGAGUUAUAUUUGUGUCACAAUCCUGAGCGCACAGUGUGAAAUUUUGAGCACAGAAAAAAAUUUUGAGCAAAGAAAAACUUAAUCUGAGAAAACAAAAAUCUAUUCUGCACUCAAAAAAUAUGUUUUUAUAUUUGCAACUAUCCACAUACACACACAAUCUUAAUGUUUUUCACUCGGUUUUUCACUCUGCUCUCCUGUGGAUCUCUGCUCUACGUCCUCGCUACGUCUCUCUCGCUCUCGCUCAACAUCUGCUCUCUGCACACGCUCAAAUCUGCCUUCACGCUCGCCCAGCUCUGCACGGCGUUACAAAUGUUCCACAAUUCCAGCCAAUCACAGACUUCUGAUUUUAUCUGUAGAUCAUUCGACUAAAUGACUGUCAAGUUUGUCUGCAGUGAGCCACCGUACUUGUGUAUCUGAUGUUUGUUGCAGCUCAGCCAAUCAUAACACACUAUGUUAUGCGCGGUCCGAGGUUGUCAUGUGACCAAGAUGUCGUCUCUGGAUGCUAUGCUGUUGUUUAUGAGUUAGCUAAUAAAGUGGAACGUUUUGCAACAAUGUGUGAUCCUUGACUCACACAAAGGAACAAGUUUCAACACUAUCCAAUCGGGUCCCUGUUUCGGCCGCCUCUCGGAAGCGCUGUUAAAAACGAUCGCUAAAUCAACUGGAGUUUUGCGAUAUACGCUGGACUACGACAGAUUUUCGAGCCACUGGACCCUCGUUUAAUUAGCCAAGAUUAGCAAAGCUGGACCAUGUCCUCGGAUCCUGAACGACAACACAACGGUGCACCACAUCCACAUACAGAUACGGACCCGUACGCGAGUCUCGCGAGUCAAGAAGCUGCUAACCACUGCAAACUGUUGAAAGUCCAAAGAGGGAGAGAUGAAAAAGGGGGAGAGGAGACUGCACAAGGUCAGGAAGAACCAGGUAAGAAAACAAAGAGAAUAGAGGCAUGCACAACAGCACCUGUUAAGAUGACAAAGAAAAACAUCCAUUCACAAUAUGAUUUUACAUAUAUGUCAUGGAGGUCAUGUGUUCUCCCCACAUUAAAUGCUUUCCAGAAGCACACUUAACAGAUAUCAGUGGACUUCAUUCUAAACAGGACAUCUUCAUUACAUUUUCCUAAUUAUCUAUAUGCUUCACUAUUUGCUUGAUUUCACCAUACAAGGAGGAGAAGAACAGGAAGAGACUCUGGGAGAUGAGAGAGAGCAGACCAGGGAAAGAAAUGCUGUGCAUCGCUUUUCAAAUAAAAGUCAAAAAUUAAGUCCAAGGUCCAUAUUUGGUGUUUUUGGUGCUCAGUAUAGGGGGCUGGUUUACUCCACAAACAUACAUGCUGUUUAUGUGUAUGUUAAGGAGCUGCUGCAUCUAAAUUAUUCACUUUUCCCAGAAAUUAGGGUUGUGAUAUGUUUCUUUUAAGAUUCCAGAGCAUUCCUCCUUUGCUGUGACUCAGCAUUUAAAUAUCCUUUAUCAGAUUGCAUGGUUUAGUCACACAGCUUUUUCAAAAAGUGUUGCUUUUCUUUGACAAAUGUGGGAAUGAAAUUGCAUUAAAAUGUACAAAACAGUGAAAUUUAUCUUGCCUGGCCGGGCACCUCUGGGUGCUCAGCACCCCUAAACCUCUGAUCCUAGAAUCGCCCCUGCUUUACGGAAAAAAGGAGGGGAAACAGGACGGCGGAUCAACUCAGUGAUGUCUGCCAUUGGCCAGGUAUUCUGUUACCAUGUUAGUUUGGUGUGACUGCUUAUUGAAACAACUUGAGCAGGUUGGAUGCAGGCUUGGCUAUAGUCCUGGCUUUGGUUAUUCUGGUUCUGGUCUUGUGGCCUUGAUCUGGCCUCAGUAAGCCCUUUACCUGAUUUUGCUAAUAAGUAGAAUAAAAUUUGUUUUGUCCUGCAGUGUGUUGCAAAGGCAGACAUUUGUGGGGGGAAAAGUAUAUUGUGCAUUUAAUUGUAAUUUGAAGUAACUGAUGGUGAAAAGUUGUUCCAAAUGGCCAAGGAAAAAUGGAAAUCAGUUUGGACAGAAACAUUGUUAAAAUAGACUUUAAUAACUAUCUCAAAACCAAAAAAAAAAAAAACGGAAGCUGACGCACUUUGAAUAUGCAAAGGGCAAAUUUACCAACGCUUUUUAACUGCAGGGAGUCUUCAAGCAAGUAUACCAAUAAAUUUCACCAGCGUAAGAUCAGGGUGCCUCGGCGUCCUCGUUUUUCUGCAUCUGUGGACUUUGAAACUAGAGCACACCAACUAAUACCUACUCUUGCACUUAACUGUGGCGAUCUUUUUGAGCAUUCUGCCAUUUUCUUCAGAAAAAAAUAAAUUAAAAAAAAAUCAAACAAGUCUUUGUGUUUUAUCAUUAGAGUUCCCGCGUAGAAGUGAAGCGUGAAUGCAUCCUGAAAGCAGUGAUGGUGUACCUAAACGAGAAUCCAGAAAACCUCAUCAAAGAGUAUCUGGAUGUCAGUGUGAUGGAACUCGAGCAGAUUGACCUGAGCGUUUACAGAGUCAUCCAUGAAGGAGCACAGCCUGAUGACAGCCUGGACGGUGUCGGCAUCAUCACUGAAAGAUGCACCGUUCUGCAGGAUCCUGGAGAUGUGGCAACAGGGUGUGCUCUUUUGUUUGGACUAAUUUACUGCUUAAAUGUGAGCUACCCAAAGCUACUUCACUACACAUUUGAGUUCUUCCAGAAAGUACUCAUGGAUUUGGAUGCUAAAAAUGUGGGGGGGGGAUUAUUAAGACUACAUCUUUGAAUAGACCUAAUAGCAUAAUUCAUUAUUGUUUACUUGGUGUAACAGUAUAAACAGGAAUUGUAGAGCAUUUCAUAGUCAUUGUUCACUAAAUUUCAUUUAAAACAGUUCUUGAAUAUAUUGCAGUUUUUUUCAUUUAGGAAGUACUUAACACUUAUAAAGACAUUUUUGCUCUCAAACAGUUUGAGAAAUUUUACUUUGAUAAAUCAAAAAACUUCAAAUGUUUUCAUUUGUAACCUUGUGUAAUCUGCAAGUUUUGUUUUUUGAAAAUUAUACAAAUCGUUUCAGAUGUAAGGGUGUGCAUAGGGACACUUUUUUUUAAUAACACAGACAAUUUUAAAAUUAAAGGAAAGAUGUUUCAUAAAAAGUAGUUCGGUCCAUAAAUUACUGAAAGUUUGUAUACAUCAGAGGAAGUGUUCAUACAGCUCCAAAAUGGCCUGUCAUUUUUUGUAAGAGUUCAAAAGUAUUGGAACAAAAGCUGAAAUAUUGAAUUUAUAAAAAAAGAUUGAAUCUGGAAUAAUUGUUCAUGUAUGUAAUUUAUGAGCAACUAUUGUGACGCCUAAAGUCAAAGUCCUGAGUUUCCUCCACAUUAGUACUCUGCGAGGUCUUUUUUAAAAGGCAGCUCAGCUUUUAUUCCUUUGCUUUUCACUUAUUUCAAUAUUAAUGGUCAGUUGGUCAACACAGUGCCAUGUUUAAAUAUUGCAGCAUUUAAAGCUUUUCAAAUAAAGCUGUUGUUGGAAGUUAAA